GCUGUAGAUCAGUGGCAGAACACCUGUUUUAGUAUGCAGAAGGUUUUAGGUUCAAUCCCUGGCAUCUCCA